rnacentral:rRNA from 1 species
AUUGAACGCUGGCGGCAGGCCUAACACAUGCAAGUCGAACGGUAACAGGAAGAAGCUUGCUUCUUUGCUGACGAGUGGCGGACGGGUGAGUAAUGUCUGGGAAACUGCCUGAUGGAGGGGGAUAACUACUGGAAACGGUAGCUAAUACCGCAUAACGUCGCAAGACCAAAGAGGGGGACCUUCGGGCCUCUUGCCAUCGGAUGUUCCCAGAUGGGAUUAGCUAGUAGGUGGGGUAACGGCUCACCUAGGCGACGAUCCCUAGCUGGUCUGAGAGGAUGACCAGCCACACUGGAACUGAGACACGGUCCAGACUCCUACGGGAGGCAGCAGUGGGGAAUAUUGCACAAUGGGCGCAAGCCUGAUGCAGCCAUGCCGCGUGUAUGAAGAAGGCCCUCGGGUUGUAAAGUACUUUCAGCGGGGAGGAAGGGAGUAAAGUUAAUACCUUUGCUCAUUGACGUUACCCGCAGAAGAAGCACCGGCUAACUCCGUG